rnacentral:rRNA from 1 species
UACGAAGGGGGCUAGCGUUGUUCGGAAUCACUGGGCGUAAAGCGCACGUAGGCGGAUCUUUUAAGUCAGGGGUGAAAUCCCGAGGCUCAACCUCGGAACUGCCUUUGAUACUGGGGAUCUCGAGUCCGGGAGAGGUGAGUGGAACUGCGAGUGUAGAGGUGAAAUUCGUAGAUAUUCGCAAGAACACCAGUGGCGAAGGCGGCUCACUGGAUCGGUACUGACGCUGAGGUGCG